rnacentral:rRNA from 1 species
AUUGAACGCUGGCGGCAGGCCUAACACAUGCAAGUCGAGCGGUAACAGGAAUUAGCUUGCUAAUUUGCUGACGAGCGGCGGACGGGUGAGUAAUGCCUGGGAAUAUGCCUUAGUGUGGGGGAUAACUAUUGGAAACGAUAGCUAAUACCGCAUAAACGUCUUCGGACCAAAGAGGGGGGACCCUUCGGGGCCUCUCGCGCUAAGAUUAGCCCAGGUGGGAUUAGCUAGUUGGUGAGGUAAAGGCUCACCAAGGCAACGAUCCCUAGCUGGUCUGAGAGGAUGAUCAGCCACACUGGAACUGAGACACGGUCCAG